rnacentral:tRNA from 1 species
UUAAUUGAAGCCAAAUUAGAGGCUUACCACUGUUAAUGGUAGAUAGGCCGACGCCCUUUUAAU